UACGGGGGGAGCAAGCGUCGUUCGGAUUUACUGGGCGUAAAGGGCGCGUAGGCGGCCACCGCAAGUCAAUUGUGAAAUCUCCGGGCUUAACUCGGAAAGGUCAACUGAUAACUGCGGGGCUAGAGUGCAGAAGGGGCAACUGGAAUCUCGGUGUAGCGGUGAAAUGCGUAGAUAUCGAGAGGGAACACCUGCGGCGAAGGCGGGUGCUGGGCUGACACUGACGCUGAUGCGCGAAAGCUAGGGGAGCGAAGCGGGAU
rnacentral:rRNA from 1 species